AUCCGAGCCUGGUGACAUUCAAAAACAUGUGCUACAAGAAUAGUUUUAAUCCUAACAACAUACUCAAAAUAUGCCAUAUCAUAAAAUUAUAAAUAGAUAACAAAUAUUCAUCUAUACAAAAUAAACAUGAAUGUUCAAACUAAUGAUCCAACUAAGGCAUUCAAACUCUACGCAAUCCCAUACGUCUAAUAUGAGUCUCAAAUACUUUCCUACUUGGUGGCU
rnacentral:lncRNA from 1 species